rnacentral:misc_RNA from 1 species
CAUAGCGUCUCACUUAUCCCCCCUAAGAUUUGGGGAUAGGUGAGGAUGAUGGCCUCCCGUGUCACACCUGGCGUGGAUGGCUUAAAAAAGGAGCCUUGGGUUACUAGAUGCCGUGGCGAUUGGUGGUAUAAUCAUCUCGUUGCGGGAUAAGUAGCUUAACUGGCUCGUAGGACCCUUGAUAACCUUU